AAUAAUUAAUCGAUUAAUGUUGAUUAGUCAAAUAAAAAGUAUUUGCGGGAUUCGGAGUGGGCAAUCGGGUAAAUCGGGAACAAUAAUAAAACGACACAGUUUUUUUUUUUUUUUUUUUUUUUUCGUAGAUUUUAUUUAUACAUAAUAAACGUUAAAUAUAAUAUAAUAUGUAUGCAAUAUUUUUCCCAACAUAUUUUUGGUAGAAAAUAAAAUAAAAUUAUGCAGCAUGCAUAUCAUUACAAUAUUACGGUCUUAUACCGGUUAUCAGCGUGUCUCAUUAUCAUUACAAUAUCAUUAUCGUUAUUAUACAGUAUGUUAUCAUAAUGAUAUAUAGUGUGUUAAUAUAAUAUAUAAUAUGCACGAGACAGGGCGACGGUUUUUUUUUUUUUUUUUUUUUUUUAUCUAUCUGUAAGUACGACAAUAUUAUUAUGUAAUAUAAUAGAACGCGCGGUACGCAAACGAAACGGUCGAAUUUUGUUCCGAUCAAAGCGCGCGGUACAAUCCGAUCAAUCGGUACGAUCGGUUGUGUUUAAUUAUUAUGAUUUCGCUUACGCAGAGGAAUGACCUAAGGCACUUAAUUAUCAAACAACAACAACAAUAACAAUAUUAUUAUUAUUAUUAUAGAACAACAACGACAGACCAAAAAAAAAAAAAAGAAAAAAAGAAAAAGAAAAAGAAAAAAAAAGCCUGCACUUUGCGCGCGCGUAAAAUGAAAAUGCGCGGUAAUAGUAGUAACGGGUAACGAUAAUACACAAUAUUAUUAUUAUUAUUAUAGAACAACAACGACAGACCAAAAAAAAAAAAAAAAAAAAAAAAAGCCGUUACAAUAACAUUUCGGCUUAAUACUGAUGAUGAUUUUUGUGCAUUUUUUUUUUUUUUUUUUUUUUGGCUAGUGCGCGAUUACGAUAAUAUUAUAAUUUUUCAAUUUUGUAAUAACAAUAAAAUAAUUUCUAAAAUCCAUUAAAAAACUAUAAUAUAUUAUGUUAUAGACUAUAUAUUUAUAAUUAUAAUUAAAAUUUGUAUUUAAUGACAUCGUUAAUAAUUUUGUUUUUUUUUGUUUUUUGUUUUUUUUUUUCUAUAAUUCGUCCGUUUAUUAGUGUACAGUAUAACCAAACCGCUACAGUAAUAAUAAUCAAACACGACACAAUAUUAAUGUAGACGACAUUCCGACUUAUUUUGUGAAUAUCAAUUGACGUUAUUAUCAUUAUUACUACACGUUUCAGCGGUCGGGCUGCUAUUAAAAAUACGUUUUUCGACUAACGUUACAACAAUAUAAUAUAAUAUAAUAUAAUAUAAUAUAAUAUAAUAUAAUUUAUGUUAUCAUUAAAUUUUCUAAUAAAAAUAUUCAACAGCGCGUAAUGAUAAUAAUAAUAAUAAUAAUUAUUAUAAUAAUAAUAAUAAUAACAACAGUAAUUGUUGUACUACGAUAGUGAAAAAUAUACAGCGGAUUCUAAAAUAUAAAACAUUUCGUUAUCGUCGACGUUAUUUUUUUUUUUAUUUUUACUUUUUCUUUCGAUCGAUAUUCUACGGUAUAUAGGUGUGAAAUUAAAGGUGUGAAAUUUAGUAUAUUUCCCUGUUCCCGUCCUCCCGAUUUUGCGAAUUACGGUAUAACGCACAACAGUAUUAUGUUUGUAGCCGGAGAAAAAAAAAAAAAAACAACAACACCCCGACGAAUUUUUUUUAAUCGGGAGACAGCGCUAUAAUGGUGGCACGGUUUCGGCGGCGGCUCCGGGGCACCGUGAACAUAACAUCACCGUAUUGGUUAUUGGUUUUUCGACAGGGUUUUGUCCCGUUCUAACUGCAAUACGAUCUAUUAAUUAUCGACGUUCUUUAAGGCGUUGUACCGAAAAAAAAGAAAAAGGAAAAAAAAAAAUUCCCAUUAAUAAUACAGUAGAAUAUAAUAUUGUUUUUUUUUGAAAAAUAACCAUCGUAUGUUUAUAAAAAAAAAAAAACGAUACACAUUACGCUAAUCACACAUAUCGUCAUCGUACGCGGAACACCCUAAGAACCGUUUACAACGCAGUUACCGAACGCAAUAUCACGUUGUUAAAACGUUUCGUAACAAAUUAAACAUUUCUAUAUAAAUAUAACAGACAGUGUACAAUAAUAAUAAUAAUAAUAAUAAUAUAAUUUUCAUUAAGUCGUUCGUUUUUUUUUUUUUUUCCACAAUAAUAUCUCCGGACAGCGCCGCGUAAGAACGUCCGAUAACACGACGCCGUCAAAAACGUUAUAUCGCACGUCGAUCGAACGUUAUUAAACGACGGGUCGCCCGAAAAAUAAUUAGACUACGCGGACAUUGCCGAUACAUCGGUUCUAACAUGUGUGUGUAUAUAUAUAUGUAUAUGUAUAUGUAUGUAUUUAAACGAACGCAAUUUUUAAACUAAUAAAACAUUUGUCGUAUAAUAUCAAAAAAAAAAAAAAACAUUUUUAUUUUUUACAAGUAUAAGCACCAAAUCUCAGACAAUACCGUUUUUUUUUUUUUAGUGCCGGCCACUAUUAUAAUAUUUUCAUAUCGCUAAUCUCAAAAACACUAAAUAUCGUAGUAACGUCGGUGAUACAAUAUUAAAAUGAUAUCACAUGAUGACAAAUGUAUACAGCCGGCUGCGUAACGCGUAUAACAAUGUAUAUAAUCUAAGUAUUCUCAACAACAGUUUUUAACAACGAAAAAUCUUCAGGUUUUUAUCGGAGACAGUUCUAUAGUUUUUUUUUUUUUUUUCGUACGGUUGAGCGCUACUGCGCAGGGAUCGCGCGGCCAGCGGUAAUUCGUGUAGAUCGGAAAUCGAGUUACACAAGUUUUCUAGACACAAACGUGACAGUAACGACAAAACAAUUCAAUACUGCGAUCUCGUCUAGAAAUUAAAAAAAAAUCGUCGGUAUUAUAUCGAGAAAAAAACACCACGGCCCAGGGGGUGUUGCCUGUAACGUGUCGGGGGUAAAACGCGUACGGUUUGCGUGUAAUAUUUCGUACCGGGAUACGGUUUUUCGGGAUUAUUAUUGUUCGUGCGGUGACGGGGGUGGCGGUACCUAAUCGACAGACGUCCUGACGAAACGGACGAGCGGCGGGUUCGCGCCGCACAGGAGGCACGCCGAUGUCGGGGCGAAAAAACUACGCGCCGCCACUGAAAAUAUCCGAGUCGGCCGCGCCACUUAUUUUUUUUCCGUCGGACGUUUCACGCGCGCGCGCGCGUCGCGGUUGUUCACGGUGUAAAAAUCUAAACAAAUUAUCGCGCCUCUCCCCCCCCACCCAUCCCACCUCACUCCCGGGAUUUCGAGCCGAAUCAAAUGAACGCGCGACACUCGAGUAGCAGUGCGCAGGUGUAGGAUGUCGAGUGAUUGUUAUUGUACCGGUAUCGCGUGUUAUUGAUUCGUAUCGAACGCACGAUCGCCAGCGAUUAACAUUGUUGUUUUCGCGUUUUUAUCAGGAGGUACGCGUGUCCCUUGUCCGGUCUCGUUUGCGGUGUCGGCGGUCAACGAUCCGUCGCCGGAAAUCGGAUCUGAUUGUUUUCAGUUUGCGUGUGUGUGUGUGUGUGCGUAUGUGUUUAACGCACGGCGUCGGUACGGGCGACGAUUUACGAUUUUAUUCCCGAAACGCGGAACAGGCCCGGUGUCCGUAUCACACGCACACGCGCACGCCCCACCCGCGGGGAAAUAUUUUUAUCGUGCAGCGAACGGGCCGGUACGCGGUCACGGUAAUGAUAACCAAAGUGGGCAUAUCGCGAGAACGGCGUUGCGGCAAUCGUAAAAUCGCCCCCGUCGACAUCCGCGACCGUCGCGACAACUAUCGAACGUCAUUAUUAAUUGUUUCGGGUUGUUUCCGUCAGCUGUGCCGCCGCGUUUAUCCAUUUUCGUAUCGUCGGGAACCCGGACCCGCCGACUCGCCGCGUCCGCAACCGCGCCGGUCGGGGGACGGCGACGGAAACGUCGCGAAAUCGACGGCUCUCGGCUGUCCCACGGCUCCGGGGCGUGAGCGUCGGCCGCGCGUGUCGGAAGCGUCUCGGCGGGCUGUCCGAACGGGACCGUAAUGCGUUUCGACCGGACGCGACGGCGUUCGGGUUCGUACGGCGGGUCUCGUUUUGAUUGGACGCGUUUCGCGGGGUCAACGGCUCGAAUGCCGCGUGGUUUUUAUUUUAUUUUUUUUUUCCGUUUGAUUGUUUGUUUGUUUUUUUUUUUUUUUCAUAUUCUCUCGGGGGGCGCGCGUCGAAACUUCUCACUGCUGUUAUCGCCGGUCGGGUUUGCCGUACGCGUCCGGCACACGCGCAGCCGCAACCGUUGCGGUUUCACAACGGAGCGGACCACGAACGAACAGUGUCAUCGCAACGGCGCGGACGCACGCGGCACGGGUGUCGUUUAACGAUAGUUUCUUUACUUUUUUUUU